AUUGAACGCUGGCGGCAUGCUUUACACAUGCAAGUCGAACGGUAACAGGCCGCAAGGUGCUGACGAGUGGCGAACGGGUGAGUAAUGCAUCGGAACGUGCCCAGUCGUGGGGGAUAACUACUCGAAAGAGUAGCUAAUACCGCAUACGAUCUAUGGAUGAAAGCGGGGGACCGUAAGGCCUCGCGCGAUUGGAGCGGCCGAUGUCAGAUUAGGUAGUUGGUGGGGUAAAGGCUCACCAAGCCAACGAUCUGUAGCUGGUUUGAGAGGACGACCAGCCACACUGGGACUGAGACACGGCCCAGACUCCUACGGGAGGCAGCAGUGGGGAAUUUUGGACAAUGGGCGCAAGCCUGAUCCAGCAAUGCCGCGUGCAGGAAGAAGGCCUCGGUUGUAACUAGCUUUGUACGGUAACG
rnacentral:rRNA from 1 species